rnacentral:rRNA from 1 species
UACAGAGACUGCAAGCGUUUAUUCGGAUUCACUGGGCGUAAAGGGUGCGCAGGCGGCCAAGUGUGUGAGGCGUGAAAGCCUGGGGCUUAACUCCAGAAUUGCACCUCAAACUACAUGGCUAGAGCAUUGGAGAGGGUAGCAGAAUUCACGGUGUAGCAGUGAAAUGCGUAGAUAUCGUGAGGAAUACCAGAGGCGAAGGCGGCUACCUGGACAAUUGCUGACGCUCAGGCACGAAGGCCAGGGGGAGCAAACGGGG